rnacentral:rRNA from 1 species
GACAGAGGGUGCAAACGUUGCUCGGAAUUACUGGGCGUAAAGGGCGCGUAGGCGGGUCCGCAAGUCGAUCGUGAAAUCCUUCGGCUCAACCGAAGAACGUCGGCCGAUACUGCCGUUCUUGAGGGAUGCAGAGGAGAUUGGAAUUCCCGGUGUAGCGGUGAAAUGUGUAGAGAUCGGGAGGAACACCGGUGGCGAAGGCGGGUCUCUGGGCACCUCCUGACGCUGAGGCGCGAAAGCGUGGGGAGCAAACGGG